rnacentral:rRNA from 1 species
GACGAACUGUGCGAACGUUGUUCGGAAUCACUGGGCUUAAAGGGCGCGUAGGCGGCUUAUCAAGUCAGGGGUGAAAUCCGGCAGCUCAACUGUCGAAGUGCCUUUGAUACUGACGAGCUCGAGGGAGAUAGGGGUGUGUGGAACUUCCGGUGGAGCGGUGAAAUGCGUUGAUAUCGGAAGGAACGCCGGUGGCGAAAGCGACACACUGGAUCUCUUCUGACGCUGAGGCGCGAAAGCCAGGGGAGCAAACGGG